rfam:Macrostomum lignano unitig_40314, whole genome shotgun sequence.
UAUCUGGUUGAUCCUGCAGUAGUCUAUGCUUGUCUCAAAGAUUUAAGCCAUGCAUUGUCUCUAAGUACAAACCUUAAUACGGUGAAAACCGCGAAUGGCUCAUUAAAUCAGCUAUGGUUCCUUAGAUCGUCUCAUCCUACUCGGAUAACUGUGGAAAAUCUAGCAGCUAAUACGUGACUUACAAGCCUGAACCUACGGGAGGGGGCAUUUAAUUAGAUCAAAAACCAGAUCGGGGCUUGCCCGCGUCUCUGCUUGGUGACUACUGGAUAACUUUUGAUGCUGAUCGCAUGGCCUCUGCGCUGGCGACGUAUCUUUCAAGUGUCUGCCCUAUCAAUUACGAUGGUAGGUGAUAUGCUACCAUGGUUAUAACGGGGUAACGCGGGAAUCAGGGUUCGAUUCCGGAGAGGAGGAGCCUGAGAAACGGUACCACAGUCUAAGGGAAGGCAGCAGUCAGCGCGCAAAUUACCCACUCCCGGCACGGGGAGGUAGUGACGAAAAAUAACGAUACGGGACUCUUUUGAGGCCCCGUAUUGGAAUGAGUACACUUUAAAUCGAAAAAAAGUUACAAGUAUGCUUAUUGGAAGGGCAAGUCUGGUGCCAGCCAGCGCGGUAAUUUCUCAGCUCCAAUAGCGUAUAUUAGUGUUGCUGCAGUUUAAAAGCUCGUAGUUGGAUCUGAGGACUCGAAUUGGUGUGUGCACAUACGGUUGUUACUUGCCGAUUUCGGCCUACCUAGUCGGUGCUCGCUCUUGGUGUUCUUAUUGAAUGGGCCCUGGUGCCCUGAGUUGCAAGUUUACUUAUUUGAAAAAUUAGAGUGCUUCAAAGCAAGGCCAUUAGCCGGAUAACUUUCAGCAAUGGAAUUAAUGGAAUAGGACUUCGGUUUAUUUUGUUGGUUUUCGGAACCCGAGGUAUGAUGUUAAGAGAGACAGACGGAGGCAUUCGUACUGCGGUGUUAGAGGUCGUGAAUUCUUGGAUCGCCGCAGACGAACAACUGCGAAAGAGCAUUUGCCAAAGAAUGUUUUCAUUAAUCAAGAACGAAAGUCAGAGGUUCGAGACGAUGCAGAUACCGUCCCUAGUUCUGACAUUAAACGGUGCCAACUGGCGAUCGGCGAGAUCGUUUUUGCUUAUUGACCUCUCGGGCGGCACCUCCGGGAAACCAAAGAUUUUUAGGUUCCGGGGGGAGUAUGCGUUGCAAAGCUCGGAACUUUAAAGCGAAUUGACGGAACAAGGGCACAACAGGAGUGGACGCCUGCGGCUUAACUUUGACUCACAACACGGGAAAAUCACCGGCCGGACAACUGUUAGGUAUUGACAGAUUUGAGAGCUCUUUUCUUGAUUCGGUGAGGUGGUCGGUGCAUGGCGUUCUUAGUUGGUGGAAGCGAUUUUGUCUGGUUAAUUCCGAUUAACGAAACGAGAGACUCUUAGCUCUGCUAAAUAGUACGCCGAUCCUUUUCGUCAGGUGCUGACUUCUUAGAGGGACAAGCGUCUUGAAGACGCACGAGAUUUGAGCUAAUAACAGGUCUGUGAUGGCCCUUAGAUGUUCGGGGCCGCACGCAGCGCUACACUGAAGGGGACAGCGAGUUGUUCCUGGUUCGAAAGAACCGGAGUAAUCUGUUGAAUUCCCUUUCGUGACAGGGAAUCGGGGCUUGCAAUUAUUCCCGUGAACGAGGAAUUCCAGUAAGACGCAAGUCAUCAGCUUGCGUUGAUUACGUCCUGCCCUUUGUACACACGCGUCGCUACUACCGAUUGAAUGGUUUAGCAAGGUCCUCGGAUUGGUUGCGACUUUUUUUUUUGUUGGGGGUGGCAACACUAGUCGGAUACUGAAAAAGAGAUCAAACUUGAUCAUUUAGUAGGAAGUAAAAAGUCGUAACAAGGUUUCGUUAGGUGAAACCUGCGGAAAAGGAUCAUUA